AUUGAACGCUGGCGGCAUGCCUUACACAUGCAAGUCGAACGGCGGCGGGGGAGAAGCUUGCUUUUCCUGCCGGCGAGUGGCGAACGGGUGAGUAAUACAUCGGAACGUGCCCUGUAGUGGGGGAUAACUAGUCGAAAGAUUAGCUAAUACCGCAUACGACCUGAGGGUGAAAGUGGGGGACCGCAGGGCCUCAUGCUAUAGGAGCGGCCGAUGUCUGAUUAGCUAGUUGGUGGGGUAAAGGCCUACCAAGGCGACGAUCAGUAGCUGGUCUGAGAGGACGAUCAGCCACACGGGGACUGAGACACGGCCCAGACUCCUACGGGAGGCAGCAGUGGGGAAUUUUGGACAACGGGCGAAAGCCUGAUCCAGCAAUGCCGCGUGCAGGAAGAAGGCCUUCGGGUUGUAAACUGCUUUUGUACGGAACGAAAAGGUUCUUUUUAAUAAAGAGGACUGAUGACGGUACCGUAAGAAUAAGCACCGGCUAACUACGUGCCAGCAGCCGCAGUAA
rnacentral:rRNA from 1 species